rfam:Eutrema salsugineum unplaced genomic scaffold scaffold_9, whole genome shotgun sequence.
UCUGGGCAGAUGAUGAAUCUCAUAAAACAAAUGGGUAAUUUGCGACUGAAAUUACAUUGAUGUGUUUUUCACCUUGGAGAACUGAUGAUCCAGA